rnacentral:tRNA from 1 species
UCUCCGGUCGUCCAAUGGGCAGGACACAGGAUUUUGGUUCCUGGAAUCGGGGUUCGAAUCCCUGCCGGAGAG